CCGGUUUCGGUUCCCCCGAGAGGGGGCGAAGAGGGAAUCAGGUGUGAAUCCUGAGCAGACCCGCUGCUGUGAGUUCCAAGCAGUUAGCAUGCCGUGAGAAGAAAAAAACCACUGUGAUGCGAAGCAUCAUGGGAAGGUAAAAACGGCAUGCGGAACGAGCCAGAAGACCUGCCGCGACCCA
rnacentral:ncRNA from 1 species